UACGGAGGGUGCGAGCGUUGUUCGGAAUCACUGGGCGUAAAGCGCGUGUAGGCGGCCCACUAAGUCUGAUGUGAAAGCCUGGGGCUCACCCCCGGAAGUGCAUUGGAAACUGGUGGACUCGAGUCCCGGAGAGGAGAGUGGAAUUCCUGGUGUAGCGGUGAAAUGCGUAGAUAUCAGGAGGAACACCGGUGGCGAAGGCGGCUCUCUGGACGGUGACUGACGCUGAGACGCGAAAGCGUGGGGAGCAAACAGG
rnacentral:rRNA from 1 species